AAUAGAUGUUCCAUGAAAAAUGUCUGCUACCUGAUUGUGAAGUUUUUCCCUUCACAUGUUGCUUUCAGGCUAAAAUGAGCCAUGUGUUUUUCAUCUCCAGGCUUUGAUUAUUUCUACUCAUGCUAUGUCAGAGUGGAUUUCCUGAGAAGGUUCUGGUCAGUAAGAAGUAUUCCUACAAUUGCAGGGCACAGCAUUGAGUGCCCAAGGUUGCCUUGCCUUGCAAGCGAGAUGAAACUGGUCCAGAGAGCUAAUGGAGUCAACGGGACAUUUGAAGCACAUAAGGGAUGCUCAUGUCGUUAGAACAGCAGAGGGUCAUGGAACUGAUUGAAUGCCACAUUGUCACCAGGAGAUAGCAGUAAAAAGUGCUGAGAGCUGCAGCAAUGAAUCCAGCGCAAGCAUUCAUUUCAAGAACACAGCUGUAGGUCACAAAAGAAUAUAAAGGUGAACAAUUUGCAUAACCUUGUCUACAGCUAAAGCUUGCUGAGCUGUUAGUUAAAGAAUAAGAAAAUGUAGACUUAAGAGAAACAGUAGCUGAUAAAAUUUGUCAUCUUUUGAUUGAAUCUUUUUGCUUCAAGUUAGCUAAACGACCACUAGGAAGAAAUUGACCUUUGCAAGUCUUCUAAUGCAGAGGCAGCCACAGGCAUUAUUUUUCUUGAUUUCUACACGUUAAAUGACAGAUACAAAUCAAACAUAAUCAGUGUUGAAGGCAAAGGUAUCCUUAAGUUCAGCCUUGGAUUAAGCAGUAUGCCACCUUGCCCAAUAUAAGCUGGAACAGACUCAAGACUCAUUGACAUUAAUCAAGUGCUCUUUGAGCUAAUGCAUGCAGAGCACUGUCCUGCUUGUGUGCCUUUCUCAAGUGCAUCACUGUUACUGACUCUGCUGCCUGGGGAAUCUGAAAGUCCCAAAACUUGUGCAAGGGCAGCACAACAAUCAGCAGAGCUCUUCCUGAACUUGGAGCUUUCAUCUGAUCCAUUCAUGAUGAUAAGAGGGAUUCACAUGCCAUCUGCCUGGCCCUGAAAGGAUAGCAGCUGAUAUAAACCAGUGCUGUUGUCAGCUGUCUUGUGCCAAAAUGAAGGUAACUGCCUCCAAAAGACCUCUUCCAUGUAAAGACUACUCACUCCAGAGCCAUCUUUGUGCAAACAAAAGAGUGAGAGUAUGGAUGUCAUCCUGCACUGUGACUACUUCAUCCUCUAACUACGGUGAGACAACUGAUAUUAAAGAGAAUUUGCACUUUCACGGACCUGGUGCAGAAUGAAACAUCAACACCAAAGCUCUACCCUGGGAUGUAUUAAAUGUUCCCAUGAUCAAUUCUUGCCUGGCUAUGAAGGACUGUGGGUUAGUACAGGACUCAUGUAGAGUUGAAUUGCUGCAUUGCCACAUUUCGAGCCAGAAGCAACAUCAGUACUGACAAUAAGGAGGACAGGAUGCUGGAAGGUAAAUAAGAGAAUUUUGUAUGAUAUUGCAUAUGCAUAUCCUAUGUCUUCUCAUAAAAUAUAGUUUACUUGGUAAAGAACACUUCUGCUCUUUACUUAGUGUAAGUCUCCACAGUGGACACAAUUUUUGUUUCCUUAGCUUUGCUUUCUAAGAAAUCUCCUGAACUGGAAAAUAUGCAAUAUAUUUUAAAAUUUGUGAUGCACAAAUAUACUUUUCAGGUGGGAAAGUGAAAACUUUGGGGAGUUCUAAAUGGCAGCUGCAGCCUAAGCCUAGUCUUCCUAUCUCUCUUCUAUAGCUUUUACAAAGAAGUGGGCCCUGUAGAGAGAAAAUUAAUUCUCAUAGUGAUGGACUGCUUGAGGUGCCUGUCUUUCCUCAGGGACUCUAGGGAAGUUAUUCACAUCUGCUGGUUUCUUCCAGGAAAUUCCUUCUCUCUCCUGACCACUCACAAAAAAAAGAGUUCAUGACAGGUAGAAUUUAUUACUGGUAUGAAAGCCCUACUGCAUCAUUACAUUUCAUAGCUGUACUGGGAAGAAGCAGCAGACAGGCAAUCUUAAUGUCUAAACAUCUCAAACUUUACAGGUUGGCAUAGACCUCUGAAAUGAGAAUUUACAAGGAUGAGGGCUAUGUGAAUGACUGACACUAGUUUCUGUCUCUACCUUGAUCACCCUCUUUUUAGAGCCACAACAGUAUAUUGUCAGAAAGGAAAAAAAUGUUUUGCAGUAAUAUUAAAUGAUUCCCUUAUGUUUUUCUUGUCAAAAUGAUCAAUUAAAAGCUUACAGUAAAAUAUUUCAUGCUAAAGGAAAUGGUCUGUCUCACCACUUAUGACCUUUUAUUUCUUUUAUUAUCAUUUUUUUUCUUCUACUUCAAAUAUCAUUUAAAAUAUGAAGUAAAAUAUUUCAAUCUGGAAUAUCAGAACUUCUAAUUUUAAUGCUACCCUCUAGUGAAAUAAGUCGGCAUGUUCGGCAAAAGGUUGGAAGUUGCUUGGACCAGUGUGAAGUUACAUUUACUUUCAGGAAAAACAAAAUAAAUGAAGAAGAACUCAGUGCCUAUAUGUUUUU
rnacentral:lncRNA from 1 species